CAAAUAAGUCAGCCUGGGAUGUAUGCAUGGUUUUUUAUUUUUAGUUUUUUUUUUAAAAAAAUAAAUAUUUUUUUAUUUUAAAGCUGUUUCUUUACACCUAUAACAGGAAUGAAUCUCGACAAGUUGAGGGCUCGGGACACAUUGAAAAACCUCAAUGAAUAUUUUCUUUAUCAUGUUACCGGCAUUUUGUUUCCAUUAUCGCUGUGCUAUGCUGAUUAAUGCCCUUGAGGAUUUUAUGAGCACAAAAAAAUCUGUUUUAAAGACAAACUACUCAAUUAAUGUAAUUAUUAUUUUUUAAAUAAUAGAUCAGUAAUUGCUUUUAAUAACUCAUGAUAAAAUACAUUUACAACAUCCUACUCAACCACGGAUUCUAAAUUUUGAUUAUCUAACAUUUGUGUUGAAAAAGCAAAAGUCAUAUUGAUCAUAAAAAUUUAUUCUUACACGUCAAGAAUAUGGAUAUUUUCGGCAUGUCGCUUCAGAAAUACGUCAUUGUGCUAUUUUUACUCUCAGAGUUACAUAAAUCGGGCAGAAUUGUGCUUAAACCGAGUGGGAGCCGCAGAAACUGCACGUUAAUUAUUUAUUCAUACCUCCGUGUUUGCUGUCACGGGCGAGGGAACACGAUUCCCUUCAGUCAACGCACGUCUGUGCGUGCCGUGCCGACCGAGAGUGACGUCAACACGCGUUUUGCCGUAUCCUGUCGCGUCCUUUGACCAUAUUUGGAUGACUGCAGUUGUUUUGUUUCCAUGGCGACGGGUGUCAUAUUUCAGCACUGGCUCUGUAGAAAAGAUCCAAACAACAGCCGUACUUUUCUCAUCAAUUAUACAAGUCUCCCUCAAUGUGAAUUACGUUUACAACUGUCUGAAAAUAUUGGGAAAGAAGAACAAAAGGAAGGAAGGAAGUUAAAUAGAGCAGCGGUGAAAAUAAACGUUGUGUAUUAUGUCUGCAGUGAUAUGGAUGGUGUUGGAAAGUUCGCCGCAGAUCAUGUUUUUAUGCAAAGCCCUCUGGAGGAUCAUACCAGAUGAAAAUCCUGACUGUACAGGACCGCUUUCUCUGAAAGGAUCUAAGUGCCAAAUGAGUCCAAGCCAUGUGUUUUCAUGUGCUGAGUGACAUCUGUGGCUGCCUUCCCGCCUGCAGCAAAUACUUCAGCUGGAAGUUCAGACCUGCAGUGGAGGGACA